rnacentral:rRNA from 1 species
AUUUACGGCUCAGUAACACGUAGUCAACCUGCCCUAGAGACAUGAAUAACCCCGGGAAACUGGGAUUAAUACAUGAUAGAUCAUCUCAUCUGGAAGGAGAGAUGGUUUAAAGGGGUGCGCGAGCUUCUUUUGUGCAUCCGCUCUAGGAUGGGACUGCGGCCGAUCAGGCUGUUGGUGGGGUAAUGGCCCACCAAACCUGUAACCGGUACGGGCCUUGAGAGAGGGGGCCCGGAGAUGGACACUGAGAGAAGGGUCCAGGUCCUACGGGGCGCAGCAGGCGCGAAACCUUCGCAAUGCGCGAAAGCGUGACGAGGUUAAUCCGAGUGGUUCCCGCUGAGGGAAUCUUUUGUUGGCUCUAAAAUGGCCAGUGAAUAAGGGGAGGGCAAGUCUGGUGUCAGCCGCCGCGGUAAUACCAGCUCCUCGAGUGGUCGGGGCGAUUAUUGGGCCUAAAGCAUCCGUAGCCUGUUCUGUAGGUCUUCUGUUAAAUCCAACGGCUUAACCGUUGGCCUGCAGAAGAUACCGCAGGACUAGGAGGCGGGAGAGGUGGACGGUACUCCACGUGUAGGGGUAAAAUCCUUUGAUCCGUGGAAGACCACCAGUGGCGAAGGCGGUCCACCAGAACGCGCUCGACGGUGAGGGAUGAAAGCUGGGGGAGCGAACCGGAUUAGAUACCCGGGUAGUCCCAGCCGUAAACGAUGCGAGCUAGAUGAUCCAAUCGCAAAUCGCGAUUGGAGUGUCGCAGGGAAGCCGUUAAGCUCGCCGCCUGGGGAGUACGGUCGCAAGACUGAAACUUAAAGGAAUUG